UCGUUUCUUCUCCAAAAAAUCAAGGAAAAAUACAACAAAGAAAAAAGGACUUCAUUUUUCUGAAGAGAGGAACAACCUCCAUCACCUUAACGGCACCUGACCCCUCCCAAUAUGUCUAUGGACAUCUCCAAUAUCCCUAAGUCAAAAACCUUCGAAGUGUAAUUCCCCAAUUUCCAAACACACGCACUUCACUCGACUGAUAACUUCUUUCGUCAGCAUAUGGCUUAAGUAUUGGAGUUUGGUCGUUAAACCUCCAUGACCAUAAAAAGUUAAUUGUUUUAGCUCCAAAUAAAGUUUCAAAAAUAAGAUCUAAAACACCCCAAAGCACCUCUGAAACUACUGGAGCUUGGUCGAGUUUCUUGAGUCAGGUUCGAGUUCGGGGCGACAAGCGGGUUUCGCUAGAACUGUAGUUGAUCGCCUGAGGUUUCCGCGAUCCGAAAGGCUCCGUUUGAAAGUUGUCCGAUAAUUGAGCUGCUGUAAUUAAAGUUCACAGUCAUCUAUAUAAAGGUUCAUCUUCUUUCUAUUUUAUUUCCUCUUCAAUCAUUUGAGUCAUCGUAUUUUGGUUUAACUUCAAGUUUUAGAGGAUUGAAUUUUGUUUGUGAGUGUUUAUGUUUGGUUCAUCAUUUUACUUGGCGUCGUUGAAAAUCUUGAAUGAGUAUUGAGUGUUUGUUUUAAAUUUUUGGAUCACAGAACUUUCAUUUUGGUUUUGUAUAUAUUUAUUUACCUUUUUUGUUGGGUUAAAAAUGACAAUAUACACUUAUCAUAAAUCUUGCAAGAAAUUAGCUAUGUUUGUUGCACAUUUUUGUAAUUGUACUGGAUUUUGAUUCUUCUAGGCAACAUAGAUAUACAAGUAUUUUUGUUAGAUGUUGAUCCAAGUCUGUGUUACUCGCAAUUUGAGAUUGUUGAAAACUUGACAUUUGAUAACCACGUUAUUCACAGGUUAUAGUUAGCUUAACUUGCUUCCUGCUUUUUGUCAUGCAUUCCAAUGUUUUGUUUGAGCACUUUGUCUGUGGACUUUUAAUUUAUUUUUGUGUGCAUUCAUCGUGAUUGCGUACACGUUCGCAUGACACAAGUAUGAUUUAAAAAAUGAACAUCGUAGUUUGCUUUAGGCGCAUUAAUUAAAUAAUUAUCAUGGCUACGGGUAAGGUUCCCGUGACGUAGUUGUGAUUUGUAAUUAUUAUAAAUCCGGGUUUGCAUUUCAUGUGACCCGAUUCUAAUUUCCAGCAAGGUUAAAUAGAACGUGUCGUGAACCAUGUGUGCAUUUCAUGUAGCGUGGCUUACGAUGUGUUUUAAAUAACCUUGAAGUUUUCCGAAAUAUUAAAAGCGGCUAAAAAGUUAAAAAUACACAAUAGGUUUAAAACAUAUAAUUAAAUCAGAUAAUUGAGCCAAUAAUAUUAGUUGAGUGACCGUGCUAGAACCACGGAACCCGUGAAUGCCUAACACCUUCUCCUGGGUUGACAUAAUUCCUUACCCGAAUUUCUAUGUUCGCAGACUAUAAAACAGAGUCAAUCUUUCCUCGAUUCGGGAUUUCAAACUGGUGACUUGGGACACCAUAAAUUAUCCCAAGUGGCAACUCUGAAUUUUAAAUAAAUAAUCUCGUCUAGAUUGUCACUUAAAUUGGAAAAAACUCCCUUAAUACCCUUUUACGGGGGUGUAGGUAAAAAGGAGGUGUGACAAUAAGCUCACAACUUUACAAGAUUCAAGGGUUCUCCCUAAGUACUACAACAAAAGACUAGCUGAGGAAAUAAGGAAGAAGGCUGCAACCUAAGCAAAAUAACCUAAAGAGGAAAUGGUCGUGUAACAAUAGUCUCAUAACAACAUUGUAAGUACUCCGAAGGAAAGUGGCACCUACCGUGGCUAAUGAACGAGAAGUAAAAUUAAAAGUAGUAUUCGAAAUCACAUGAGUUGUAUGAAACCUCCGGCAUGCGUGGGAACUAAGACAAGAUAAGUAUGCAUGCAACAAGGGGGCAGAAAGACCAUGAAAAGUAAUAUCUUUCGUUAAAGAAAGCUGAGAAGGAACGAAAGGAAUUAUUCAAUCAAUGAUCCCGAGUUGGUGACAUUAUGAAAACAAUUAAGAGUUUGGAGUUUUAUACCUACGUCAUAUACAGUCGUAGAAGAUUUUGGUAUAUGUUAAAAGAAAGAAUUGAGCCCAGGUCAUAGAUGAAUGAUUGAAUUGUUAAAGAAUUAUAUCAUGAAUAUCCACCAGCGCCUAGGAAAGUCUAAAUUAAUAACUAAUACCAAGAGCCACAAAUCGGAAGAUAACUUAAGCAUAAAGUCCGAUCAAAAGGAGAAGGAAACUAUAGAGUUACAUCAAUAAAGUAAAUCAAGAAUUUGAUUAUUGAACCCAUAAAAUUAUGGCCAUAGUGAUUGAGAACAUUACACGAUCACUCUUGUAUCAGAGGUACAAGUCAAAUAGUACAACAACUAUAUUCUAUAACGACUCCACGAUAAAGCCAGCUAGAAGAGUACCAACCUUGUAGAAAGUCAGUAUGAAGCUCCCACCGGAUUGUGUAUGCACCAAAGGUGCAAGUGUUAUAAUAAGAGCUUCAAGUUGUGGAUGUAAAUUAUACCUAUGUGGAAGGGAGGUCAUGAAAGAAAUAGAAGAUAUGAUGCAAGAUUUUAAGGCAAAGGUAGACAAUGUAUGAGAUACUCAACUGUAGAAGGUUGUGAAUAGUCCAUACUUCGAAUAGAAGACCAGAAGCAUAGGGAUUCAAUAUCCAGGAAUGAUAGCGGCAUCGUCAGUGGCAUACCUUGUAGACUAUGGUUUCUAAGUACCGAAAGGUCUAAUUAGAGAGUAAAAGAAGAGUUAGAGAUGAUGUGAUAUCUCGCUUGAUGUUCCAGAAUAACAUAAGAAAAUCUAUGGUGCAAGCAACUUGAGGGAAGGUUGCGAACAAGUAUGAAUAGGUAUGUGUAGGUCGCAAGCUAAAGUAUGGUAGAUCGACAAGGUUAUAGGAAGAUAUGAGUAAGGAUAAGAAAAGGUGAGUGAAAAGGUGACAAGAAUGGAUAAGUUCUUGGGAAUAAGCUCAUGAAAAUAAGAGAGCUGAUGGAUUCUCUGAGUUAUAGAAGGCUCAGUAUAUCCAGAAUGAACUCAAAUGAGUCUAAGACUAGUAGCAUUUAGAAGGGAUGGAAUGCUGCUCUGGUAGUGGAAUAAGGGCGUAAUUAUGAUAGAUAAAGGAUGGCAUUUGGUCCUUCAAUUGAGUAAUGACUUGAAGAGGAUUGCAUGAAUUGCAAGGGGCUAAAAUGCCCAUAUAAGGUGAGUCACGUUGGGAUGCUAUAAAGUACGGUUAUGGAAGUAUAGUAUCACCCCUAGGUGGAUCAAUCUAAUUACUCCGGAUGUCCUUAUGAGACGCGAGACCCAACGGCGGUGUUACAUAAGAGAUCAAGUUAUCGGUGGUAGAUGAUGGAUUAACCUUAUGGUAAAUCGACAAUAGAUGGAUAAAAGUUUAACAGUAUGAGAUGAGAUUAGACCAUCUGUCUUAAGGAUAAGCAAUGAGAGUAACCUGAAGUUAGUUGUAGACCUCAAUAACGAUAAAUCGAAGUAAGGAUUAUGGUAUAGUAUGACCUAUGUAGAUGCAGUAAAGUCAUACGGAUGGAUAACUAGGUCAAAGAAAUAAGAUAUAGCUAUAUUCGCAAGUUCUACAAAGUAUCGAGUGAAGAACUUCAAUACACCUAUAGAUGCCCGGGGAGGCAUCCUAUUAAGCCUUGUAUAUGUUUACAAAGCAAGGCCUAGAGAUUGGCUAAAAGCUGGAGGAAAAAGGAGAGAAGAGUUGCAUAGGCACACUAACAAGGUCAGUAUCGUAGAGGCUGCAUGGUAGGAGGUAGCAACAGUUACGUGAAUGGAAGGAAUUCGAUCACAAGUCAUGGCAUGGGAAAGAGGCCUAAAAGGGGGAAUGCCCUGACCUUUGGAUUUAUUCACAAAACAACUACCUAAAUGGCAAGGUGAGUAUUAAGGUAUCCACAUGAGCUAUAAGUUAUGAAAAUGAUAAGAGCAUCAGUCAACAUUCGAUGACGAAUGUACCAAAAGGGAGAAUGAUGUUAUGCCCCACAAUAUUACGUCGAUGAUGUUAUGCCUUGAAGUAUUACACUACGAUGAUGUUACUCUUCACGGUAUUAAAUUACGAUGAUGUUGCACCUUGUAGUAUUGUAUGUUGAAUUUGUCGUAAGGUAAUGUACAUCAAUCCAAGGAAACGAUUAUUUGGAGAUAAUAAGGAUUAUGCUAUUUNNNNNNNNNNNNNNNNNNNNNNNNNNNNNNNNNNNNNNNNNNNNNNNNNNNNNNNNNNNNNNNNNNNNNNNNNNNNNNNNNNNNNNNNNNNNUCCACGUUUGACAUGUUGGGAUAAAAUACGGGCCGAGUGUUAAUACCCAAUAUUUAUGGACUAAUUCAUACAAGGUACCAUAUGACCAUGAGAGUAAGGUGUAUAAGGUAUGUUAAAAGUGAGUAGUAUUUUAAGCAAGUUGAGAUAAUUCUCAAUUACGUGGGUAAUUGGUUUAUUAUUGGUUAGUGGGAGAUUAAUAAAUUAUUAAUUAAUUAAAAAAAUUGGAUAAAUUUGAAAAUCUUUACCUUUAACGUGGCAUCUAGCCAAUUCCUAACCAAAUGACUCUUAGUCAUUUCGGUUAGGUGGCAAAAUACUACAAAACACUUCUUUCUUAUAUAUAUCUUGAAUACAAGACCUUAUAAACAAAAUUCCUUCAAUUCCUUAUGAUCAGAAGUGAGUUCUUAUAAGUUUUAAACAAAGUUCAUUCUCAAAAAUUCUACUAUCUUAGCAAAUCUCAUAAGUUUCAACAAAAACUUCUUGCCACCAAAUUUAUACAAAAAAAUCCAACAAGAAUUAUUAGAAUCUUAACAACAAAAAAAAUUUGCAGUUCCAAAGGAGUAC
rnacentral:lncRNA from 1 species